AUGUGGAGUUUUCCUAUGCGUUUCAAAUCUGAUGUACACCCCGUUCUCUCAAACUUUCAUGCCUUUGUUCGCACUCACUUCCAUUGCUCCAUCGGCACGAUCCAAUGCGACAACGGCAAGGAGUUUGACAACGUCGCCAAUCGCACCCUUCUCGCUCCAUUCGGGACUUCUCUCCGCUUUUCUUGUCCCUACACUUCACCACAAAAUGGCAAAGCGGAGCGAGCUAUCCGAACCACUAAUGACGUUAUUCGCACAAUCCUAAUCCAAGCUUCCAUGCCACCGCCCUAUUGGGCUGAAGCCCUCACCACAGCCACCCAUCUUCUUAACAUUCGCCCCACAAAACCCCUCUCUCUCUCCACACCGCAUGAAGCCCUAUUUCGUGUCCCUCCGUCGUAUGAUCAUCUACGCGUAUAUGGUUGCCUUUGUUUUCCAAACAUCAGCGCCCAAACCCCGCACAAACUUGCA
rnacentral:rRNA from 1 species